UGCAUCUUUUCCCUUAGUCUUAUUCAUACAUCAAGACAUGUUAUACACACAUUCAUGUGCUAAGGGCUGAGUCAGCUGAAAUGAAUUUGGAACCUCUGAUUGAUUUGCAGGUCCAUCCUUCGAACCUUUGCCCACGAUGACAUCAGUGCUGGGUCUUGGUUUAUUGGACUGGAUGUGAAGCACAUUGAUGAAGCAAAGCUUUGUUGUUCUUCUUGGUCAUCAGGUGCUGUAUGUGCAGCUGGUUGACUUUACAUGGCAAGCAUUAUGUAUCUACACAUAGUAAUGGCUGUUUUUACUCAUUGUUUGGGUAGCUGGGUGGCCUGGUCUGGCUUUGGCUCAUGGCUGCUGCUGGUUCCCUGCUGCUACUGGUUUUGGUUUCAGUGUUAAACUGGGAAUGAUUCAGGGUGUCUCAGCAGUUGGAGCUUUCUAUGAGCUCCUGAGUCAAUCCUCUCUGAACGUGUCUCGGCAUGGAGAACGCAAGCCAGUCGCUCCUGUUGAGUUAUGCCCGAUCUUAAAGACACUAUACAAGAUACUCAUAAAAAGGGAACAAUCUUCAUAAGACAUUCUCCAAGCACUGAGGGAUGAGAGCAUGAAUGAUCCCCGGGAUCGAAUCGAAAUUGCUCAAUCACAUGCUUUCUACAUGCCUUCACUGUGCUGAGUUGCUGUAUGUGUUCAGGAAGCUAUAACCUUGUAUUUUAUUUUGAUUUAUAUUUUAUUUUUUUGGACGAAAAAUGUAAUAUUACAGCCUAUUUUAAU